AUGUGAGAUGCAGUGUAUGGAAUGUCAAAUUUCUAGUAUGAGAAAUUAACGAUUUAAGUCCUUCUUAAAUGAGGCCAUUUACCCAUAGAGGGUGCCAGGCCCGUAUAACGUUAAUGAUUACUAGAUGGCAUUUCCAAAGAGUCGUGUUGCUUGAUAGUGCAGCACUAAGUGGGUGGUAAACUCCAUCUAAAACUAAAUAUAACCAUGAGACCGAUAGUAAACAAGUACCGUGAGGGAAAGUUGAAAAGAACUCUGAAUAGAGAGUUAAAUAGUACGUGAAACUGCUUAGAGGUUAAGCCCGAUGAACCUGAAUAUCCAUUAUAGAAAAUUCAUCAUUAUGAUUUUAAUAUUAAUAAUAUUAUAAUAAUGGUGUGCAUUUUUUCUAUAACGGACAUUGUAAUCUAUUAACAUAAAUAUAUUUAUCAUAAGAUCAAUGAUGCGUAAGUUUAUUUAAAUUAUUUUGCUUGCAAUUUAACAUAGAAUAAAUGCUCUUGAUUUGAUAAAGUGUUGAUAGAUUUAUUGUAUAUAGUGCUUAAAUAUUUAUAUUUUAUAAUAGCAUAUUAAUCAUUGAUUUUUAUGUUUAUUAUAUGCACUUAUAUGAUUAACAAUGCGAAAGAUUCAGGAUACCUUCGGGACCCGUCUUGAAACACGGACCAAGGAGUCUAACAUAUUUGCAAGUUAUUGGGUAUCAAAACCUAAUAGCGAAAUUAACAUAACUUUAAUGGGAUUAGUUUUUAGAUUAUUUUUAUAGUCUAUUAAUUCAAUCCCGGGGCGUUCUAUAUAGUUAUGUAUAAUAAUAUUUAUAUUAUUUAUACCUCUAACUAGAGCGUACCUUGAGCAUAUAUGCUGUGACCCGAAAGAUGGUGAACUAUACUUGAUCAGGUUGAAGUCAGGGGAAACCCUGAUGGAA
rnacentral:rRNA from 1 species